UCCGUGUUAACCACGGCAGUCUCUUUAGAGUGCCCAACUGAAUGCUGGCAACUAAAGACAAGGGUUGCGCUCGUUGCGGGACUUAACCCAACAUGUCACCACACGAGCUGACGACAGUCAUGCAGCACCUGUCAUCUGGUCGUAUUGCUACGAAAGCCGUAUCUCUACGGAUGUCCAGAGAUGUCAAACCCAGGUAAGGUUCUUCGCGUUGCUUCGAAUUAAACCACAUGAUCCACCGCUUGUGCGGGCCCCCGUCAAUUCCUUUGAGUUUCAGCCUUGCGGCCGUACUCCCCAGGCGGGGCGCUUAAUGCGUUAGCUGCGGCACGGAGGACGUGGAAUGUCCCCCACACCUAGCGCCCAACGUUUACGGCGUGGACUAC
rnacentral:misc_RNA from 1 species